UACCAGCACCCCGAGUGGUCGGGACGUUUAUUGGGCCUAAAGCAUCCGUAGCCGGUUCUACAAGUCUUCCGUUAAAUCCACCUGCUUAACAGAUGGGCUGCGGAAGAUACUAUGGAGCUAGGAGGCGGGAGAGGCAAGGGGUACUCGAUGGGUAGGGGUAAAAUCCGUUGAUCCAUUGAAGACCACCAGUGGCGAAGGCGGCUUGCCAGAACGCGCUCGACGGUGAGGGAUGAAAGCUGGGGGAGCAAACCGG
rnacentral:rRNA from 1 species